UUUUCUCUUUCUCUUUUAAACACACCCUCCUCCACCUGCUGGGAAGGCAAAGGGAACAAUGAGUGCUGUGGUAUUUCACAGGUCAGGGUUUGUUCUCCUGGCUGGCUGAACAGUCCCUCUUUUCCCAGCACCUGGACAGCUCAGGAGGUCCUGUGGACAGCUGUGGGUCUGAAAGCUGCUGUUCUCCCAAAGGCACACAGCAAUUUCUUCAGUACUUCAAGCUCUGUAUUUGUUGAAGUCGCUGCCAGUGAUUGGUUUUUCUUCUUCUGACCAUCCCUGUAAAACAAAGCUCAGAGAGAAGGAUCUGACAGCCAGAACUCCCUUGGGAUACCAAAGGCCUUGACCCUCAGACCUGCCCAGCCACUGCUGCCCGUCCUGCAGGAAAAGAGGCUGAGAAUCCCCAGCUGAGCCACAUUUGCAGCGUGCUGGG